rnacentral:rRNA from 1 species
UACGGGGGGGGCAAGCGUUGUUCGGAAUUACUGGGCGUAAAGGGCUCGUAGGCGGCCAACUAAGUCAGACGUGAAAUCCCUCGGCUUAACCGGGGAACUGCAUCUGAUACUGGAUGGCUUGAGUUCGGGAGAGGGAUGCGGAAUUCCAGGUGUAGCGGUGAAAUGCGUAGAUAUCUGGAGGAACACCGAUGGCGAAGGCAGCCCCCUGGGCUGACACUGACGCUCAGGCACGAAAGCGUGGGGAGCAAACAGG